ACCGUUGUAGAAAUCCAGCUGCUGGAGCCCGUUUGUUGUAGAAGUUUGUCCAAAAUCCAUCCGCUAUGAAAGUUCAGACGGAGUCUGGUUCUUGUAGAAGUCUGGAUGGAGACCGCUUAUUGAAGAAGCUUGCCUGAAGUCCGCCUGUAAUAGGAGUUUGAAAGAAAUUCGUUUACAGUAGAAGCUCGGAUAGAAUUUGCUUACAGUAGAGAUCCGGAGU
rnacentral:lncRNA from 1 species